CUACGGGCGGCAGCAGUGAGGAAUUUUGCGCAAUGGGGGCAACCCUGACGCAGCAACGCCGCGUGAGUGAAGAAGGCCUUUGGGUCGUAAAGCUCUGUCGAUAGGGAAGAAAUUAUGUAUGUUAAAUAGACAUAUGUAUUGACGGUACCUGUAGAGGAAGCACCGGCUAACUCCGUGCCAGCAGCCGCGGUAAUACGGGGGGUGCAAGCGUUAUUCGGAAUUAUUGGGCGUAAAGGGCGCGUAGGCGGUCUUGUCGGUCAGAUGUGAAAGCCCGGGGCUCAACCCUGGACGUGCAUUUGAAACAGCAAGACUUGAGUACGGGAGAGGAAAGCGGAAUUCCUGGUGUAGAGGUGAGAUUCGUAGAUAUCAGGAGGAACACCGAUGGCGAAGGCAGCUUUCUGGACCGAUACUGACGCUGAGGCGCGAAGGCGUGGGUAGCGAACGGGAUUAGAUACCCGGGUAGUC
rnacentral:rRNA from 1 species